UAUAAUUUAUUUGGUCAUUGAGAAUAGUCUCUCAGGCAAAAAUGCUGACAUUUGAGGAUGACUUAGAAAGAAAAGUUUCUGCCUAACGCGAUGGAAAAUAUACGAUGGCUCUGGCGACAGCCGUCCGGCCCAGCGGUGGGCUUGUCUCCCAGUAAAUGGCUGUCAUUUUUAUGUCUUCCUUUAAAGUGACACCUCACAAAGAGCCCCUCGGAACUCGGGACCUUCUCUGGCUUUUUCCUCAUCCUCAGUGUGGGCAGUUGGACUUGGACCUGGGCUUUAGGGAGCAGAAACUGGAUGAAAAUGGACAUGGAGCUCAGGACAGUGGAUGGCUUAACUCAUAUGCUUCCAAAUCAAUUCCAAGAAAAUGAAAGGCAUAUAGAGACUGAGAAGGUUUUUACGGAAGGAUGAUAAAUGAUGAAAGAAGCUAAUCAUUGAAAUUCCAAGUGCCAGAAAGGACACGUUUUCCACGGCGAAUCUGAGCUUCCCUGGGCUGUGCCUGAUCCAGAGGACACUGGGGCCUCCUCCGCAUCAAGGCAGCGGCCCUCAGACAGACUGCUCAAGAAAGUGUGUCCUCCAAAUAUUUUUUCUGCAAGACACUUGUGACAGACAACAAUGACAAGCUCAAACCCAUGACCAGCUCUGAGACUCCAGCUGAAAUCAACCUUCUCUCUCACCACAGUGGGAUGUCAAAAUGCAAGUAACAUCAAUAUUGAAUAACUUUAAAUGUGCUUUAAUCAUUUUAACAAGUAAAUCAUUUACAAUUUUCAGAAGUUGAUUACUAACAAAUUACUACAUCAACUGGUAUGGUACAGAAAU